CACCUUUAAAUUUAAUGUUUGAACCACAACUAUGGUUUGUUGAGAGGAACGACUACAUCAUCAGCUUACCUGAUUCAAGUUCUGGAUAUAAUGUUGGUGGAGAAGACAUAAAAUUUAGCAUAAUGGUCAGCCUUUUCCAGUGGAUACAGAAGAGAAGAUGCGGUCCAAGAUCCGGAAUGUGAUACCUUCUGCAGGAAGCCUCAAGACAAUUUUGCUUCCAUGCGACUCACUUUUAUAGCCUUAAGGAGCACUUGCUAGCCACUUGCCUCAUUGACGCACUUUCCAUGUCCGGCGACUCCGAUGAUGCCCACCAUCUCCUCAAUUGGCGGAAAGGCGGCCCUAAAACUGCCUCAAAUUCCGGCAACUUCUCUCUUGUUGCCACUGAGGGGCUUUUCUGGUGGGAAAGAAUGGUAUCUCGAAGAAAAGAGGAGGAGGGAUUGGUGGAAGAAAAGCACUUAAUGAUAUCUCAAAGCCUUCUGCUCUACAUCAAAGAAAACAUUUUGCUGAAUCCUUGAAGAGCAUAACCAUAUCUCAUUGCCAGAAAUUGAAAUUGGAGCAGCCAGUUGGUGAGAUGAGUAUGUUUCUGAAGGAAUUGAGAGUGAAAGAAUGUGAUUGUAUAGAUGAGUAUUUGGAGUUUCCACAACCUUACUAGGAGGUUUUUGAUUCCUACUGCCACUAAAAGACUCGAUAUUUGGAAUUGUGAGACUGCUGAAAUACUUUCGGUCGCAUGUGGGGGGACCCAGAUGACGUCACUGAUUAUUGAGGACUGUUGGAAGUUGAAGUGGCUGCCAGAACGUAUGCAGGAACUCCUUCCAUCUCUUAAUACACUGCAACUGCGUAAUUGUCCAGAAAUAGAGUCCUUUCCUCAAGGAGGAUUGCCCUACAAUUGACAAGUCCUUUGGAUCAUCAAUUGCAAGAAAUUGGGAGUUGCCUUCCUCUAUUCAAAUGCUUACCAUAGAGAAUCUGAAAACAUUAAGCAGCCAACAUCUCAAAAGCCUCACCUCUCUUCAGUAUCUAACUACUUAUUAAUUACCUCAAAAUCAAAUGCAGUCACUGCUGGAAGUAGGGCGUCUUCCCUCCUCUCUUUCUGAGCUACAUUUAUAUGACCAUCAUGAGCUCCAUUCACUAGGUCUUUGGCACCUAACUUCCCUUCUACGUCUAUGCAUCCAAAAUUGCCCUAAUCAAAUUCAGUCACUGCUGGAAGUCGUCAUCUGUUGCAGAAUCAGAAUUGUGUCAAAGCACAGAGAAAGGCAAUGGACAUGAGUUGUUUUUUCAAGGAAGUUGGAUUAGAUAUCAUGAUGAUGUCCCUGUGCAUCUAGGAGCAUCUCCACAUGCACUUGAACUUUCAAUGAAGUCGAAG